GACGAACGCUGGCGGCGUGCUUAACACAUGCAAGUCAAGGGGGCGGAGCAAUCCGCAACCGGCGAACGGGUGCGUAACACGUGAGCAACCUGCCUUAGUGUGGGGGAUAGCCGGCCUAACGGCCGGGUAAUACCGCAUACGAUUCUCGAGCGGAGUCGCUGGAGAAGGAAACCUUUGGGGCACUAAGAGGGGCUCGCGGCCUAUCAGCUAGUUGGCGGGGUAAUGGCCCACCAAGGCGACGACGGGUAGCUGGUCUGAGAGGAUGGCCAGCCACAUUGGGACUGAGAGACGGCCCAGACUCCUACGGGAGGCAGCAGUGGGGAAUCUUGCGCAAUGGCCGAAAGGCUGGCGCAGCGACGCCGCGUGUGGGAUGACGCCUUUCGGGUGU
rnacentral:rRNA from 1 species